UUGUUGAAGCCAGGUGUGAUAGUUAAUAGUUGAACAAAAUAUACCUGAACAAUUUAAGUAUGCUGUAGCAGUUCUCCACUUAUGUUCACCUGCAAGUAAGAAGAUUGUUCUUUUUUUUUUUGCUGAAGCCAGGUGAGAUAGUUAAUAGUUGGAACAAAAUAUACCUGAAUAACUGCUUUUGUUGCUUUGUGGCAGUCUUUUUGACGAAAAUGAUAUUUUGUGUACGUGCUUAAUCACUGUUUAUCUUUACGUUUGGCACUCAUUAUUAUAAUGUUAGAUUAGAAUUAUAUAAAUUUUGUUGUUCUGGCAAGUUCAUGGUUUGUCUGGAUUUUGUGAAUGAUUCUCAGUUCUUGUGAACAAAAUUAUACUGCUCUGCUCCAAAUCUUUAAUUAAUGUAUCUUAAUUGAUUGGUCUGAUUGUCUUCUUUGCAGGAUCAUGUACUGUAUUCAUGCUUUGAGACACUCUGUCUACAUCCUGUCUUGCAGAUUCUUUUGUUACAUUGUAGCAGUCAUUCUGUGGAAAUGCAUAUUUGAUGCUUGUGCUAAUCACUGUUUAUCUUCAUGUUUGGCUCUCAUUUAUGGCGUUUUCUUUAAUUAUUUAAUUUCAUCUGUUCUGGUUGGGUGAUGUGAAUGAUUCUCAGUUUUUCACUAUCAUAAGCGAGAAGCUGAGACCCCAAGAAGGAUCAUGCGGUGCUCUUCUGUGUGCUAAUGCUUUGAGACACGCUGUUUACUCCAACCCCGUUGUAGUACCAUUUGUUUGAAGAUGUGGUAUAUUGAUUAUAAGCCUUUUUCAUCGCUGUGCUUUCGUAAAUUCAAAAUCAUGCUGAUUUUGGUCUCUAAAAUCUUAAAGCCCAUAGAAUUACUUAAUUUGCUCUACUAACUCCCUAUAAAUUUACAUUUUCCUUUCAAUUAGUUGCCAACCACGGUGAUCGGCUUUUGGUACAGAAGCCAUUGAAGAUUGAUCGUGGCUUCAGAGGAAUUCUCUAAGUUGCAAGAGAUUGGACACAACGGAGGAGCCAGUGCAAGAGUUGCGGCUGCACCUCCGCGGUAAGACAAUAGGAGGCCAAUCUGGCCUGUCCCAACCUAUGCCUGGUAUGCUGCAGCUUUAUCCAAUCCUCUACUAACUCCCUUCUUUGAAAUUACAUUUCCUUUCACAUUGGCUGCCAAAUAUUGAUGAUGGGGUUUUGAGCCAGAAGCCAUUGAAGAUCGAUCUUGACUGCAGAGGAAUUGUUUUAGUUGCAAGGUGAGAGUUCAACCAAUGUUUCUUUUCUAGGUACGGUUGAAAUGCAUUGUUUUCUCGCAUUUCCAUGUGUUCAACACUUGCCAGAGAUUGGACAUAGUGGAGGAGCCAGUACAAGAGACGUGGCUGGCACCUCGUCAACAGUAAGACCAUAGGAACCUAAUAUGGCCUGCCCCAGCUUACUAUUUAUCCUGCUCAAAUGCUUUUUCAGUUUUCCCGAGUGUCUCCAGGAAGGUAGAUUUUACACGUUUGAAACAUAUUUGCUAUAUUAAUUUAUAUUGUUAUGAACAUCUUGAUCAACCGUCUGAGCAUCACAUCAUAUUUUAGUCUUAUAAUUAUUGAGCAUCACUACUCUGAACGGCUUAGGAUUGCCAGUAAUGAACAUGAUUGCAGAGAUCUGGUCAUAAAAUUUGUCUUGUAAUGUUGCAGCUUAUACUUCUAUUUCGUUGGUCUGGAGACAGUAUUUCUAUGGAUAGUUAUGAAAUCAUAAUCAUUUCAAUCUGAAGAUCACUUUUAAGUUUUAAAUAUGCUCCUAUAAAAUCCCCUGAAACUCGAGAUGUGGCAAACAUACCAUCUUAUAAUUAUAUAAUCAAAUAAGCUACUUUGUAUCCUUGCUCAGUUUGAUAGUAGGGAUAUCAGAACAAGAACUAACAUGAAGUGUUGGAUUCUUUCCUCAUGGAUGGAUCUGUUGAAGAAGUGGAGAUGUAUAUUCUUGGAAAUAAUGAAUGCAUUUGUUUCCUGAGACUGAACAUUACAAAAGCACCUCGUCUAGAAGAAGAAGCUAUGAAGCCCUCGGAGCUUUUGAAGGAAGAAGUUCUGACUUACUUUCCUGAUUCUAUCUGUAACAGUUUGGGCCAUCUUCUAUGUAUAUGUAUUUAGCCCAAAUAGUCAGCCUGGCCCAAGUUGUCAUAUGGAACAUCUGUACAUUACUCUGAAUGCAAUAGAGAAAAUCUUCAGUUGGUCAAAUGACAUGGUAUCAAAGCUUGGUCUGGUCG